CGCGGUCCUCGGUAGUGGCUUUCUGGUUGUUCAUCAUGGAUGAAUGACCCGCGAGCCUCGAUCGAAGACCAGU
rfam:Neomicrococcus aestuarii strain B18, complete genome.